CACCCACUCCACACAACAAACUCAUUCCCACAAAUGCAAAGUCCGAACUCAUUCCAUUAUCUGUUUCAAUUCCACCAUGACACAUUCUAUUCUAUUGCUUGGACUUCUGAUAGUAGCAAACCUUAUGGGUUCUCAAGCUAAAAAUUCCUUCUCACAGUACUGGGAAGAGCAUAUUGGCAUUCCCCAACCUCCACAUUGGGUAGCUGCAAAGGCUUCUCCAUUAAACUUCCAUCAGGUGGCAGUAUUUAUGAAACUUAUAGAGGAAAAUGAAUUGGCUUCCCACCUGCAUUUGUUCUGUAGGCAGGCUAAUGUCGCUUGUUCUACAAAUGCAUUGGUGAAGAAG